CACUGGAAUUCUUUCCAGCCUAUCAUGGUGCUAUUCUGCCGUCACCUACGAAAGGUUUUCCGACAGUUUGUCGUUCAUUGCGAGACGACAAGAAUUUCAUAAUAACAUUAUGAAAUAGUUCGUAGCGUAACUACGAAAAGUUAUAAUAUGUGCCGGAGCAACAUAUUUUAGCACCAGCUUACAUGAGUGAUUUCCGUAUCAAACUACGGACACCGAUAAUAUUAAUAUAUUAUA